GAGUCUUUCUCUCCUUAUCCCCCGAGCAUUUCGGUCCCUCGUGAUUCGACUUCUCUUUCUGUAGUUUUAGUAUAGUAAGGUGAGCGCUGAAGCGCUGCACGAAUCUUUCUUAGAAAGAUUCAGCGACGAAGUUCUGCCCCUACAGAGCCCGACUCCUAGCUAAAAUCCCCUUGUUUCGUCGAAGGAAAUUAUUUUAAAGUAAACGAAGCGUUGUCCGAGUACCGAGUCACCACCUUCUCAAGUGUUGAUAUGAAGUGACAUUACACUGAGAGAUUUAAAGAGAUGUAGAUCACUAGUGUAAAUAAUUGUAAGUUCUGUUUAUGCUUAUGUUUCUGUAUUAACGAUGACAUCCCAAACGUUUUAAAAUGAAAUAAAUACGUUUCUUCGAAAAUGUUUUAAUAACGUAGUUACCAUGUUUUUCUGGGAACAAAUUCCGCAACAUUUUUAUAAAAUGAAGUACUCUGAUUUUUAUAAAGCAUAAACAACAUCGGUCUUUUCUGGCCGUGAAAAUGGGGAUGUCACAGUUGUGAGCCUAUAGGCCCAAUGAGGUGUUAUCUAUGAGCUUAUUGUUGG